UGUAGGGAGCGUUGUAAUUUGAUUCCUGCCUUUUGCUUGUUGAGGUGACGACACACUCUCCUGGAGCUCAUCCAGCAACAAAUCUGCAAGAAAAACCAAAUAAUUCACAGUCCACACCUAGAUUUUGGUCCCAUUCGGAGAUUGGAUACUGUGUCUCGUACAGUUGUAUUUCCUCCGCAUCUCCAUUAAGGUUCCAUGACUGUUGAUGACUGGUGGUACUCAUCGACGUUGAAUUCGGUCCGCUGCUGGUUACUUUGUUGCAGACAGCUGGGGAUAGGUGUUCCUUUUGCAGGUGUGCUACUGGUACUGGUUGUAAUUUUCGUCAUGUACAGAAACAAUUCUUAAGCAGGAUGUUGAAGAUCUUUCCUUUCUCCACGUGGUUGCUGACGUGUCAUGAAGAUGUGUUUUUGGGAGGGUCUCUACUAUAUUGCAAGACAAAAGUGUGAUGAAAACAGGAAAUCUGAAAUGGUGUCCAUCUUUCUUAAUAGCCCACAUUUCUACUUGACAGCUCUACCAAUGUGUUUAACAGCAUAAGAAGUUAAUCAAUGAUGCCAAGCUUCUAAGGACUUACAAACGAAAAUGUUUCUCAUUUCACAGUAAUGGUGAUCCCAAAGAAUAUGACCAUUGAAGAUUUAGUUCUCUAUGCAGAGACAAAACGAUAGUUGGCUGAAAACAAUUGGAUGUACAUGGCUAAUUUUAUCGUCAUAUAAAUAGGGUGGUGGACAUGUUACAAAAUUUUUCCACAAGAAUGCAGAAAACUUAUCAAAUCAAUUACUAGAUGACCUUUUUAUAUCUUCCUUUUUACUCCUAUCAUUUGGGUUUAAAUAGUGACGAACUGACAGGUGGAUGGUGGCAGCAUAUUUGAUACAGGGAUCCACUCUUUCUUAUAGGCUAAAGCAUCUGACAGAAGUUAUCCAAAAUAGGCAACUUGUGUGUAUUACGUUUCAGAUGGUUUCGAUUCCGACUAGUCCGGUGCAUCAGUGGGCCCUCUUCCGACAAACCCAGAUUAAAUCGGAUGAGAUUUCUGGCGAUGACAAUAGAACAGGAUGCAAAUUCGGAAGUCAUGGGCUGUCUGAUGGGCCCGCAACACGUCCAGCAGCCACAUUGAGACUCGGAAACGUUUGUCGGUUCUUCGUUGCCGACGUCGGCCGUCUUGACUGAGUUACAUCACGCUACCUGGACAAUUCCCGACUCUUCACUCGCUUCGACGACAACAAAGAAUUUUUUCCGGUUCCAAAGUUUAUGGUGUUCCGUCGGUGGACCACACAUUUUGAGUCAUCGUUAUUAUGAUGCAUUUGCCUAUAAUAGUGAAGCAGGAGCCAUAACUGGGAGCAGCUGCCGGAUGAUUCUGGAACCACGAACUUACUCUUCCGUUUGGUGUUCCGAUUCACCAAUUAUUUGUUUGGUCGUUUGCAUCGCAACCGACUGAAACAUCACCGCAAUGAACCGAAACUAUGAGAUGCUAUUUUGUUGCCGGGAGUAAUCAAAGAUAUCCUAUCAGUGCUGGAUCGUGGAUAGAAUCAUUCGUUCGGCUGAAGAAUAUCUCGAUUCUUUCGAAUGACCUGGCCCAACAAUUCACAGAUCUCGUCCGGGAUCAACUCGCUUAUUCAAUCCCGCCAUAUUGGGAUCCAGCAAAGAAAACUUUUACUCCUCAGCUGAAUGUUGUCCACCAUUCAACAACGGAUGCCACUGCUUCUAGUCAAUCUGCUGGACCGUGUUCCGGCAUGAAAGAUUCAUUUCAGAUUGUUUGAAAUUGCCAUGAACUUGUUUGUUUUUUGUUUGUUUUCUGCAAUUCGUCUUGUUGUGGAGCGUCUAGACUAGCAUAUCUGAGUAAGGGUCUAACAGUUUGCGUAUUGGCCCAGUCGAAGGUACUGGAGGAAGUCUGAUUGGUGGCGAUCGUGUGCCCGUUUUAGUGAUGGUUAGUUAGAGAACGCUGCCGUAAUUGUUGUCACAGAAGGAGUGAUUUAUGUCUCCGGCUCUUUUAGUUAAAUUUCGUGUCAGAAACAAAAAGGUUUUCCAUUCAGGGUUCCCCAUCUCUCAUACCGGUCUGUUACAGCAGUAGUCAACGGCGUACAAAGAAUUUUUUAUAUCAAGGUUUUUUUUCUCAUUUAAAUGCUGCAGUGCAUUAAUGUUAGUAUUUGUUUUUGUAAGAGUUGACUGGGGAAGUAUUGGGUUUGUACAUGCAUGGUGUUAUUUAUCAUAAGAAUACAAGACCAGACAUGGGAAACAUUGGGAGGUAAUAGAGGGGGGACAUGUGGAAGGAGUAGGAAAUGAACCUGGGGCCUUUCUUAUCAUCACUAGGGGCCGUAACCAUGACAGUGGUCCAUCAUCCAAUUUGAUAAAUCUCGAGAAUUUUAUCAGAUCCUUUAAAGGGCUGGCUAAGAAUGCUGUGGAAUUUUUCAAUUUAGGCAACACAGUAGGUAGCUAUUGGUUAUAGCUCAAAAUUGUCACGAGUUACGUGUUUGAAUCUUGUAGGACAAUGGAGGACUAAGAGGGUAGGAAGUAGAAGUGCAGAGAAAUCUGUGGAAUAGUCCAGUAAAAUGCGAAUGUAUAAGAAAAGAAACGUGGUAAGUUGCAAUUUUAUUUUUCAACGGGAUAUUUACAUACAUCAGGAUGAUUCCAUUCAUAGUUGAAAUGUUUGGUUAGUAAUGUAACUAUAAUUGCGUAUUAUAGAGACGUUACAUAGUGUUUAAGGAUUGAUCCACCGUAGUGUUGGUAGUUUUAAAUGGUACACGCGAAUCUUUCAGUCUUCAUUCUGCAGUGUUGUGUUAGCAAUGGAGGAGUAGGGUUGUCGAAUUUGUGUUCUGGUCAUCCGUGUGGACAAUCGGUUUGACUGAAUGUGUGCUUGUCAAGGUUGUUUUAACUCUUACUUUUAUACGGCAGUAUAAAACUAAAUCAAUAAAUGUGUAAUUGAAAAUAACUUGUGCCUAGUUUGU